rnacentral:RNase_P_RNA from 1 species
CAAACAGAUGGUCGCUGUGUGCUUAUGAUGAGCACAGAGAGGAAAGUCCGAGCAUCAAAAGAACAGGGUGCCAGUUAACGGCUGGUGGAGGCGACUCUAAGGAUAGUGCAACAGAAAUAGACUGCCCUUUAAUUAGGGUGAUGGUGGAAAGGUAGGGUAAGAGCCUACCGGAAACUUGGUAACAAGUUUUGCUCUGUAAACCCCACUCGAUGCAAGGUUAAGUUUAGGCUUUAUGCGUUCUUUCAUGCCUAACAAAAAUACCGCUUGAAUUUGUUGGUGACAACAAAGCUAGAUAGAUGACCAUUUAAUACAGAACUCGGCUUACAGUUUGGGU